rnacentral:rRNA from 1 species
GACGGGGGAUGCAAGCGUUAUCCGGAAUCACUGGGCGUAAAGCGUCUGUAGGUGGUGGUGCAAGUCACUGGUGCAAAACUCUGGCUCAACCGGAGGAAAGCCAGUGAAACUGCAUGACUAGAGUGUGGGAGAGGUAGAAGGAAUUCCCUGAGUAGCGGUGAAAUGCGUAGAUACAGGGAAGAACACCAGAGGCGAAAGCGUUCUACUGGAACACAACUGACACUGAGGGACGAAAGCUAGGGGAGCGAAUGGG